rnacentral:misc_RNA from 1 species
GAGGGUUCACAGAGGGAAGCUGUUAGGAGCAUGCAUUACAAUUCAUCCAUGCUCAAUGAUGUUCAAGAUUUAUACAAGAAGCCAAUUCGUGGUUCAACCCCUGAUGUCCUGUCUGCAGAGUUCUCAGCCUGUACGUCUGGUCGCCAGCUCCAAGGUUUUGCAGAGGAGUUCCCCCACCUUGAUAUAAUUAACGAUCUUCUUGAUGAGGAAAAUAUUGUUGGUAUUUCAGCCAGAGACAACUCAAUGUUCCAG